GCAAACUUGGUCAUUUAGAGGAAGUAAAAGUCGUAACAAGGUUUCCGUAGGUGAACCUGCGGAAGGAUCAUUAACAAAUCUUUUAUGUUUUAUUAUUAUAUGUAUUGUGAUGAUACAUGUGAUAAUAAAUACACACAAGUUCCAUGUUGUACACACCGUUUAUAACAUGACAUUUCUAUUAAUUAUCUGAUUUAUUUAUUUCAAAUUAUAAAACAAUAACUUUUAACAAUGGAUCUCUAGGCUCUUGCAUCGAUGAAGAACGCAGC
rnacentral:misc_RNA from 1 species